rnacentral:lncRNA from 1 species
GAACUCAUGACCUUGUGCUUGCCAGGCCUGAAUGAUGUCUUAGAUGGCCCAGUGCCUUGAGGACCCAACUGGGCCAUGCUCUGCCCUCACUCACUGAGAACUUCGGUGGCAACUAGGGGAAGAAUGUAUCUACCACGUCCCUGCCAGCCUCCUGAGACAUGGCAGUGCCCAGUGGAUUGGUUUUAGGUUUCAUUUCCCAGUGCUUUGGCCUUGGGAAGAAACAAGAGACAUGUUGGAGAAUGGGGAAGUUCCCAGGCACUAACCACACCCACGUAAUGGAACUCAAGGAUUGUGCAAACCUCAAGACCCAAUGAGCAAGGCUGCCACAGGAAGAGGGUGGAGCAGAGCUUCCUGCAAGUGCCUUCCCCUUCUAACUUAGGACUGCUAAAGUAGACUGCCACUUAGCUUUUGCCUUAGCUUUUGCCCUUAGCUUUUGCCUUAGCUUUUGCCCAGGCACGUUUGGAUACGGAUUAGUUUGAUGGCCAGACCGCGAUUACUGCUGCUGCUGCUGCUCCUUGUAGUGCAGGUGAGAAUGCUGCCCUGUUGUAGCUCUAGGACAAGGGAGGGAGCUCGAGGACAAGGGAGGGAGC